AUGCCCAAGUUCAAGAAGAAUCUGAACCCUCAGGUCUUCUUGGAAAUAUCCAUCGAUGGGCGACCUGCCGAGAGAAUCACGUUUCAGCUUCCCACUUUGGUGUUGCAGCUCUUUGCUGAUGUAGUUCCGAAGACGGCAGAGAACUUCCGAGCGCUUUGUACUGGUGAGAAAGGCCUCGGAGAAUCUACGAAGAAGCCACUUUAUUUUAAAGGAACACACAUCCAUCGCAUUAUCCCAGGAUUUAUGGCUCAGGCUGGUGAUUUUUCCGGAGGAGAUGGACGUGGUGGAGAGAGCAUAUAUGGUGGAAAAUUUCCAGAUGAAAACUUCAAGUUAAAGCAUGAUCAACCUGGUAUUCUUUCCAUGGCAAACUCUGGAGAAAACACCAAUGGAUCCCAAUUUUUUAUAACAUUCAAGGCUGUGCCACAUCUUGAUGGCAAACAUGUGGUCUUUGGGAAGGUCCUUAAUGGAAAAGCUUUGCUUAAGAAGCUUGAAGCACUGGGUUCUGAAUCUGGAAAACCUACAUGUCCAGUGAAAAUUGUAGACUGUGGUGAAGCCUCUAACAUAGAUACUCAGAAUCAGCUACAUGGAGAGAAAGAAAAGAAGCUUAAAAGGGCAGUAGAAUAUAAUAACUCCGAUGCUGGAGGGAGGGUCAAAACCAAAAAAACAUCCAGCGUGGAUAAACGAAGGAAAAGAAGAAAGAACUACUCUUCUGAUUCAUAUAGCUCAGAAACUUCUGACUCGCAGUCCUAUUCCUCAGAUAGUGGUUCGGAGUCACAAUCAUACUCUUCAGCAUCAUCCGAUACUAGCUCAUCUAGUGACCAUAGGCACAAGAGAAGAAAAGGUUCUAAGAAAGUGAAACGAAAGCCUGCAAAGAGGAAGAGCAGCCAUAAGAAGAGUAAGAGCAAGAGUAGAGGAACAAAAAGAUCCAAGCGGAGCUAUGGGAGCUCAAGUGAUGCUUCAAAAAGCUCGAGCACCAGUUCUGACAAUGAAAGUGCAGGCCGCCGUACCAAGCAUCCAUUGAAGAAAGACGAAGAAAAUACCAAAAUAAUAAAUUUGGAGAUAGGAAAAUCCUUGGAAUAUGCAGAUAAAGGCAAACAAACGGUUGCGGGAAGUAAACCGUUAUACAAAGAUGAAAGUUGGGCUGAUGACAGGGUCGGGACUCAAAAUUCCGAAGAUAGAUCUAGUAAAUUCAGGGAUGAUACCAACCCCAUCAGGGCUGAUACAACUCUGUCAAAGGCAGAUGGCAACAUCACUGCUGUUGCUGCAGGGGCUGGCAUAUCUGAAGCUGGUGCAGAAAGGAACCCCUUGAGCAAUAAACCAGUACCCACCAAUGGCCAAGAUUUAGCUAUGGGCUCUACAGAGGAUGGACGUGUCAGGAAAGGGCGUGGUUUUACGCAGAAGUACUCAUUUGCACGUCGAUACCGAACACCGUCUCCAGAGUGUUCACAUGUUCGUUCUAGCUACUAUGGAGGAAGAAAUGAUAGAUGGAAUAACUUCAAUAGGUAUGGAAGAAAUGGUCUUUAUGGUGCACGAUCGCCGGUGAGGAGAUACCAAGGUUCCCCAAGAGCUAGUAGCUCACUGAGGUACACAAGGAGAGACCGAAGCAGGAGCAGGUCACGCAGUCCAGUGAGAUGCCGUGACGGUGGAGGAAGACAUCGCCGCCCUAGCCCAAGACGCAGCCAUAGCCCCGCAGAACAACAUAAACGUGAUGCGGCCUACAGGCCUCGAUCAGGUCGUGGUGGUGGUGGUGGCCCCUCUGCUGCUAAUGGAGGAAGAUCAAGAUCCAGGUCCAAGAACCGUGAUGCCUCGAGGUCCAGGUCUCCUAAUGCUGCCCCAGCCAAAAGGUUGAGCUCAAAGUAUAACCGCAGGCGCAGCAGCAGCUCAAGAUCCAGUAGCCCCUCCUGUAGUAAAGGUGGUUUGGUGUCAUACUGA
rnacentral:rRNA from 1 species